CCUACGGGUGGCAGCAGUGGGGAAUAUUGCGCAAUGGGGGAAACCCUGACGCAGCAACGCCGCGUGAGUGAGGAAGUAUCUCGGUAUGUAAAGCUCUAUCAGCGGGGAAGAAGGAAGACGGUACCCGACUAAGAAGCCCCUGCUAACUACGUGCCAGCAGCCGCGGUAAUACGCAGGGGCCGAGCGUUAUCCGGAUGUACUGGGUGUAAAGGGAGCGUAUACGGUGUCGCAAGUCUGAAGUGAAAGCCCGUGGCUCAACCGCGGAACCGCUUUGGAAACUGUGAGGCUGGAGUGCUGGAGAGGUAAGCGGAAUGCGUGGUGUAGCGGUGAAAUGCGUAGAUAUCAGGAAGAACACCGAUGGCGAAGGCAGCUUACUGGACAGUGACUGACGUUGAGGCUCGAAAGCGUGGGGAGCGAACAGGAUUAGAUACCCUGGUAGUC
rnacentral:rRNA from 1 species